AGACAGUCAUUGCUAUUGAAAGAGUAAUAUCUGGUCAGUGGUGCCAGGUGUUUUUUUCAUGGUAGCGAUACUGGCUCCAUGUUCUUAAUUUGGAGUCUGUGAUCACAAUUAAGCUUACAUGUACAUCUGUAACACAAUAGUAGUAACAACAUGAUGGCAUAAAUGGUGGUAUCUUGUGAAUUAGAAUGCCAAGUGACUUUUGUUGAACCAUAUUUAUCACCAUCAUGAAGUAAAUGGUUACCAGAAUAACAUCAUACUCUGUCAAGCAUCCUUAUUGUAGCUAGUUAACAUGCUAAUAGAUUAGAAAGAGCUCUGUGAGCUCCCCAUUUUCCCUCAGAAUUGUUUCUUACUGAUAUACCAUAGACUUUCUGAAAUCUGGUUGGCCAAUAAUUUAAUAUAAAUGAUGCUUGUCUGACUUUUGAUCAAUGUUAAUUGAAAAUGUUUUCCUUUUUUGCUUUAUUCUCUCUAAUUUUAGAAACCAACAGUGAAUGGAAUUGAGUUCAGUUGGGAAACCCUAAAAAACAAAUUGGGUCUUAAAAUUCAGCCUUUCAAUGGUCCAGGGAUCAGGUAUUACCUUAACAUUGACCGCUGUGCAUAUGGUGGUGUAAUAGCUGUACGUUCUUUGUUGGAUGGCACUCCGCAAGUACGUGGUGCUGAGAUUCUGGCCGCAAAGUCCGUGAACUCUGAGUGUACCCAAGUAUAUUACAAUGAUGACGGAGUUUGGAAACGCUAUGAAAGUGCCACAAAUAUUCGUUGCAAGCCCUGAAAAAGAGUGAGGACGGAUUAAGCGAUGGAUCAACGCUUUAAGAGGAUUUCCUAUUGUCAAUAUAUCAAUCAAAAGCGUUAUUACAGUGUCUUUUCCUCAAGCCAGCCAUCAAGCCCUGCUAAUCGGGGACACUAAAGCGUACUUUUCGACACUUGUUCCUACGAAUGUAGCUUCAUGUCAGCGCAAAAUGGACUUUUGCGAGAGAGUCUAUCAGUUAAAUAAGUUGUAGUGAGCGACAUUUAGUAGUGGUUCGGUUUACAAGGUCAGCUGCAAAGAAGGCCAUCUCCAAUAUUACUGAGGAAAUGAAAAAUUCUGCAUGACCAACCUCAGGGUAACAUGCGGCAACAUGCGCUGAAUUUCUUUUUUCAUGCUAUAGCCAAAAAUGUCACAUAUUGCUCGUUAAUGUCGAUCUGGUCUUGACUGUUUAAGUGUUUAUGAAUUUACGGUUUGAAACAACCUUUGUCUGAAUCUAAACUAGUUUAGGUUAGACUUCCUAUCAUGUUACCUAUGCUGCUUUUCUUCCUUUCAUCCAAGGUGAAAAUGAGGAAAAUGCCAGUGCGCGCGUGUAGCAGCGGACGCUUUUUUUGGCGCGAGAAUAUGGCUUCUUUGAGCCCACGUGACUUGAGAGGGCCACAGAAGCACAGACAGAAGCACGCAAUCAAGGAGGCAUUCUCCAAAACAUAACUCUACGUCCUGUAAUUGAGCUGUAAUAUUUAUCGUGUAAAAACAAACACUUAUAGAAAAUAGCCAAGGUGGACACAGGAGAACGCUCUUUAUAUGAACUCUGCCCGUGUUUUUAAUACCAGCACUAGCUAGGUGAGGGUGGUAUCAAAAAUUGUCUGCUUUCUCCGAGUUUUUUCCUAAGAUUAUAUGGGAUGUUCUCUAUACUUUAAUGAUUGUAUUCUAAUUUUGUGUUCAGUGUUAGUUUCUCAGGUCCUUUAAUUCAGGGCACUUAGAAAAUAACCCAGCCAAAAAUUUGUUUUUCGGCUGGAAACAGAGCUUAUUAGAGUUGUUACCCUCUUCAUUUAAAUUAUUACUUUAUUUAUCUCGCAGAUUAUUGCGUUCAGUUUAGUACACGGCCUGGUUAGUGUUAAGUGGGUAGACGCUGUUGUUUUCGCUAGCUGUUUAGAACUAACAGAUCUCUCCAGGAGCCAUAAUCGGGGACGGAGUCCCCGAUCAAGCCGAGUUUAUAUUUCAGUCAUAAUUUUCGUUGUACUGUUCUUAUCACGUUUAAUGAUCGUUUACGACUCGUCUUUACUUCUCUCCUCCCCCUCCCCCUCCCCCCGCUCUAUAUCAGUACCCCUCACAGUAAAGUGAUAACCCUCCACAUAGCAGGUUAGUGUACGAAGAUGUACUACAACUUUAUGAAAUAAAACAUCGUUCUUUUCGAAAA